UGGUAUCCUUCAUCAAGAAGUAUGUUGGAAGAUUUUAAGUCUCGAUAUAUUACAGGAGGGUUGGCUUUGUCAUGCAGAUAUUCUAAACCCUUCGCUGCACCAGCUGCAAUCUUCAUCCUUGUAUUCCAGUCCAAUGGUUCUUUGUCAGGUGGAAGAUCUGUAUAUGGACUCCAAAGAGGGGAUUAGGUGCCAUUUUGCAUAAUUUGCAUUGCUACUAUUACAAGAGAGAAGUAGCAACAUCAGGUGGAAGAUCUGCAUAUGGACUCCAAAGAGGGGAUUAGGUGCCAUUUUGCGUAAUUUGCAUUGUUAUACUACAACAAGAGAGAAGUAGCAACACAACACAAAACAGCCAACAUUAAACAUCACCUUCAACAUUAGACAAUGAAAACUUUUAUUUAAAUAUACCAGAAAUAAUGCAGAGAUUUUACUUGUACAAAGGAAGUAUUAAUUAAGAGCACUCUGUCGAGCAUCCCUACAAACUUUAUCUCACAGCUUCAAGCACUGCUUAUUGUCACUGGUAAACUGGAAAGUUCCAAGAAAACACUUUAUGGGUUUAGCAAAUGCGAGUAGGAAGUUCCACUCAAUCAGUUGGGAGGAUGUUACAUCUAAAAAGAAAGAGAUCUUUGAGUUUUCAACAAGGCCUUAUUAGGAAAAUGACUACGGAGAUUCAGGAUUGAGGAUCACACUCCAACCUCUACGUAGGUAGAUGAUAUAUGGAAUUAUUGAAGGAGGAUGGAGGACUAGAAAUAUCACACUUUCUUUUGAGUGAAGACUUUAGAGGAAUAC
rnacentral:lncRNA from 1 species